rnacentral:rRNA from 1 species
GACGAACGCUGGCGGCGUGCUUAACACAUGCAAGUCGAACGAGACGAUUUAGAAGCUUGCUUUUAUUGAGUCGAGUGGCAAACGGGUGAGUAACGCGUAGACAACCUGCCGCAAAGAUGGGGACAACAGUCCGAAAGGACUGCUAAUACCGAAUGUUGUAUCUCCUCCGCAUGGAAGAGAUAUUAAAGAUGGCCUCUACUUGUAAGCUAUCGCUUUGCGAUGGGUCUGCGUCUGAUUAGCUAGUUGGUGGGCAACGGCCUACCAAGGCGACGAUCAGUAGCCGGUCUGAGAGAUGAACGCACAUUGGAACUGAGACACGGUCC